rnacentral:rRNA from 1 species
AUUGAACGCUGGCGGCAGGCCUAACACAUGCAAGUCGAGCGGAUGAGAGGAGCUUGCUCCUCGAUUCAGCGGCGGACGGGUGAGUAAUGCCUAGGAAUCUGCCCAGUAGUGGGGGACAACGUUUCGAAAGGAACGCUAAUACCGCAUACGUCCUACGGGAGAAAGUGGGGGAUCUUCGGACCUCACGCUAUUGGAUGAGCCUGGGUCGGAUUAGCUAGUUGGUAGGGUAAAGGCCUACCAAGGCGACGAUCCGUAACUGGUCUGAGAGGAUGAUCAGUCACACUGGAACUGAGACACGGUCCAGACUCCUACGGGAGGCAGCAGUGGGGAAUAUUGGACAAUGGGCGCAAGCCUGAUCCAGCCAUGCCGCGUGUGUGAAGAAGGCCCUCGGGUCGUAAAGCACUUUAAGUUGGGAGGAAGGGCUUACAGCGAAUACCUGUGAGUUUUGACGUUACCGACAGAAUAAGCACCGGCUAACUUCGUGCCAGCCGCCGCAGUAA